GACGAACGCUGGCGGCGUGCCUAAUACAUGCAAGUCGAGCGGAUGACGGAGGAGCUUGCUCCUCCUGAUUCAGCGGCGGACGGGUGAGUAACACGUGGGCAACCUGCCCUGUAGAUUGGGAUAACUACGGGAAACCGGGGCUAAUACCGAAUAAUCCUUCGGACCUCAUGGCCCGAUGUUGAAAGACGGCAUCUCGUUGUCACUACAGGAUGUGCCCGCGGCGCAUUAGCUAGUUGGUGAGGUAACGGCUCACCAAGGCCACGAUGCGUAGCCGACCUGAGAGGGUGAGCGGCCACACUGGGACUGAGACACGGCCCAGACUCCUACGGGAGGCAGCAGUAGGGAAUCUUCCACAAUGGACGAAAGUCUGAUGGAGCAACGCCGCGUGAGUGAAGAAGGUUCUCGGGUCGUAAAACUCUGUUGUGAGGGAAGAACAAGUACCGGAGUAACUGCCGGUGCCUUGACGGUACCUCAUUAGAAAGCCACGGCUAACUACGUGCCAGCCGCCGCGGUAAAAC
rnacentral:rRNA from 1 species